GACGUAGGGCGCGAGCGUUGUCCGGAUUUAUUGGGCGUAAAGAGCUCGUAGGCGGCUUGUCGCGUCGUUCGUGAAAACCCGGGGCUCAACUCCGGGCUUGCGGGCGAUACGGGCAGGCUAGAGUUCGGUAGGGGAGACUGGAAUUCCUGGUGUAGCGGUGAAAUGCGCAGAUAUCAGGAAGAACACCCGUGGCGAAGGCGGCUCUCUGGGACGUGACUGACGCUGAGACGCGAAAGCGUGGGGAGCGAACAGG
rnacentral:rRNA from 1 species